UGCAUUAAUAGUACAAUUUAGUAUUCUGCUUUUCCACAGCAGGGGUUCCUGAAAGAGGGUUAAUGCAA
rnacentral:tRNA from 1 species